AAAUAUCGUAUACUUCUUGUGUGGCUUUAGAUAAGCGGUCGAUGGUUUUUUGCACUGAACAAAAGUCUAAUCUAUUGCACUGUUAUAAAAGGCAUUAUCAGAGAAUAGAUCCUGAGAUAUGGGGAAAAGCACUCUGCAUGUUAGCUCCUGCUGUGAUUUCGAACAACUGAACGAUGGAGCCAAUGACGUAUGGGGUAUUACCUUAUAGCCCAUUACAUACAUAAGGAAAAACGUAGCUACCUAUUGCACCCAUAAACAAAGUCAAAGAAGAUAACAUUUAUCAAUUCGUA